AAUCACAAGCGCACGUGCUUCACGCACGAAACAUAUUAACUGUGCAAUAAAAUUUUUUUAUCGAUCACGUGAUCUAUAAUUAAUCGUCGACAGUCCAGUAACGGAUUACGCGCGUACACAGGGAGUCGAAAAGUCAAUGUUAACAUGUCUACUAGUGCAAAGUUCGCGUUUUGAAAUGGAUUAUAAUAUGAAUGUAAAACCGUAGAAAUCUAUAUAUCGAUCAGCGUGCACGGAAAAAUCCAAUUUGAAUAACGGGAACGAUAAGGAUGUCGAGUUUGGCUUGGCCUCAUUGAAAUAACAUUUAUAUAUGCUAUAAGUUUGAUAUGGUUAAUGUCCGCGAGGAUCUCAAAAUAUGUGUCUAAAUUCUAGAGCUUACCGAGAAAAAUAUUUGAAAAAAAUCAAUAUUGAUUUAUAGAGGCAGCACUGCAUUUGAAAUGGGAAGAAGAAAUUAUUUUUCAGAGGUCGUUUUUUUGCGAGCACAAAUCUUACAAUUUAUAAAUCGGUGAUACAAUAAUAUGGUAAUAAGUUAUGUAUGAACAAAUGAACACCAAACGAAUAAAUACAAGGAUAUGUCUAUUUGCUGAAGAAACUAUCCACAGCGACAACACUUCGGUAGAUAUCUUUAAUAAUAACUAAUAAGUAAUAACUAUCAAUAUAAUAAAUCUAUAAUAAAUAAUAUUAUACAUAUGGAUA